rnacentral:misc_RNA from 1 species
UUUCGCCCCUAUACCCAAAUUUGACGAUCGAUUUGCACGUCAGAACCGCUGCGAGCCUCCACCAGAGUUUCCUCUGGCUUCACCCUAUUCAGGCAUAGUUCACCAUCUUUCGGGUCCCAACAGCCACGCUCUUACUCAAAUCCAUCCGAAGACUUCAGGAUCGGUCGAUGGUGCACCCUUAAGGGCUCCCACCUCCGUUCGCUUUCACUGCGCGGACGGGUUUGACACCCGAACACUCGCGUGGAUGUUAGACUCCUUGGUCCGUGUUUCAAGACGGGUCGCUUACGACCAUUAAGCCAGCGUCCGUGCCGGAGCGCGUUCCUCGGUCCCGACUGGCCGCAUUGCACCCCCGGCUAUAAGACGCCCCGAGAGGCGACACAUUCCGGGGGCCUUUGACCGGCCGUCAAAACCGACGCUGGCCCGACCGCGGGGGAGUGCACGGGCAAAGAAUGCCCGCUGAGCCCCCGCAGACGACUCUGGUCGCAAGCGCUUCCCUUUCAACAAUUUCACAUGCUGUUUAACUCUCUUUUCAAAGUGCUUUUCAUCUUUCGAUCACUCUACUUGUGCGCUAUCGGUCUCCGACCAGUAUUUAGCUUUAGAUGAAAUUUACCACCCAUUUAGAGCUGCAUUCCCAAACAACUCGACUCGUCGAAGGAGCUUCACACGGGCGCAGCCGGCCGGCCGAAGACGGGAUUCUCA